rnacentral:rRNA from 1 species
UACGAGGGGAGCAAGCGUUGUUCGGAUUUACUGGGCGUAAAGGGCUCGUAGGCGGCCAACUAAGUCAGACGUGAAAUCCCUCGGCUUAACCGGGGAACUGCGUCUGAUACUGGAUGGCUUGAGUUUGGGAGAGGGAUGCGGAAUUCCAGGUGUAGCGGUGAAAUGCGUAGAUAUCUGGAGGAACACCGGUGGCGAAGGCGGCCUUCUGGACAGUGACUGACGCUGAGACGCGAAAGCGUGGGGAGCAAACAGGG